AGCGUCAGACGGGGAAUUGGUAUGUUGCAAGUUCUACCAGUUCAUCGUCUGACGUUUA
rnacentral:pre_miRNA from 1 species